CAACAUGUGAAAUCGGACACCUUCUUUCUCAACCCGUCCCAACACAGUCUUAUCUGCACUUCCAGCUGUCACUAUAAUGCUAUACAAAACAUUCACGCGCGAUUCAAACUUUAACAGCAGCAACUGACUCCAAAAGUUCAAAAGUUUGACAUCGAUAAAAGUCGCCGUUUAAGAAAACAUAAGAGAAGAAACUCGGGCGGAGGGCGGGAGGAAAGGGGAAGCCAGAGGGGUGUUUCCUCUCCAGGAGAGGAAGGAUUAAAGUAGUCCGAAAUAAUUAAUUAAACAGCGUGAAAUGUCUAAAUACAUUGACUUUUAGAUGACAGUCGCGAUGUCGACAUCAGUUUUCCGAUAAAAGCAUCACUCUCCAACGGAUGGAGGAGAAUCCAGACAGCGACAGGCAUUAUGAGAGGACCACUGAUGACCCCUCACCCUCUGGCCAGGGGACCAAACAGCAGAGUGAGGAAUCCCCCCUGGGGGAUCACGACCUACCCAUCAUGCAAUGGGAAGAUUUAAGUUUGCGAAUUGCAGAGUUAGAAAGGCAGGAAGAGGAAAGAAGGAAUAAAGCAGAGAGUCUGGGUUUAUCAGAGCGAGACAGAAUACUUGGAUGCUGGACAGAGUCAAAACACCAUUCACUUCACUGGGCGCCAUGGGUGGAUGAGAACGACUACAGUCCCUGCCGUGUCCCUGUCACAACGUCACGGUUUAAUAGUCCUAAAAAUCUUCAGCUGUGUUUCAUCAACAACAGUGAGAGUGAGGAGGAGGAUGACGAAGGAUUAUUUAGCAAAGAGAGCUCGUGUGAGGCAGAGGUACGAGGAAAUUGCUCUCGGGGGCUAAAACAGGAAGUAAAAGCAGCACUUAGGGCUCUCAGAGACGAGCUAUGGGCCGAACAGAAGGAGAAAGAGAAUAAAGUUAGACAAGAUCACAUAAGGCAAGCCACCCACAGUAACAUGAGCAUAAGGAGAAAGAUCCUUAGCCUUAGUGAUCUGCAGACAUGCUCUUCACUGCAGCUGAAAGCGCUCAGGGCGUCACUGAAUGAGGACAUUCAAGAUUUGAGCUCAGAACUGGUGAAACAUCUCGUAGUACGGGACCAUCUUCAGACUAAGCAAGAUGCUUUGCUCCUGGAUGUACAGGAUAUGACAUCAUUAUGAACGAUUUUUGUUUUGAACACUGCGUAACUGCAGUUUAACGUUGGCACUUUCUGAAAGCAGUAAUUUACUGUUACUCAUCAUAUGGACUAACAAAGGCCAGAAUAUCCUGUUUAUUCUUGAAGAAAUGUAGCCCUCUCAGAAACGUUUGUUAAAAUGUGAGUCACAUUGAUUAUAGUCACAAGUUUUAUUGUGGGAAAAAAGUGCCUUAUAACGAACCCUAAUGGCUCUGAUUCAUAUGUCACUCACGGUUUAAUUUUGCUUUCGUAAAUAGAGAAUAUAUUAAGCUGCUGUCAAAGCCAUAUGUGCUAUAACUGUGAUGUAUUAAUCAUCAGUUAGGCUACUUUGCAUUGCAUUGAAAUACAUUAUAUGUAAUCGUCAUGAAAAUAUAAACGUGUGCAUUUUGCUGUCUUAUGAAUGUGCCUUACAACUUUCCUGUGUAUCAAACUUAUACAUGAGGCUGAAGUAUAUCUCAGUGCUAAAUAUUCACAAUAAUUUAAUAAAUCAUUUAUUUUAUAUUUUAUACACAGUCAUUAGCCUUUUUUGUGGAACUGGAAAGGCAGUUAUGGCAUACAUACUCUGCAUUAAAAGAUACUUAAGGUCCUUUUGUGUUUCCUCGGAUUGCUAGACACCCUCUUGAAGGUGCCUCAAAUAUCCCAGAAAGGAAUUAUAGAUUAAAGUCAUAAUUAAUGUUGUGGUAUUUCUUUUUAAUUAAAUAAUAAAUCAAAUAAAAUGCACAUUGUAUAUUAUGUGUAUUGUAUAUAUUAUAUAUUAUGCAUUUGUAUGAAUGACACUUGUAGCAGAAUAAAUGUGUAAUUUGCUGACUUUCUUCAACACAGUAUUUCCCACAGUAUUGAUUUGAAGU
ensembl:lncRNA schwannomin-interacting protein 1-like